GCGUGGGAACGUACCCUUCACUACGGAAUAGCUUCUGGAAACGGAAGGUAAUACCGUAUACGCCCUCCGGGGGAAAGAUUUAUCGGUGAAGGAUCGGCCCGCGUUAGAUUAGUUUGUUGGUGGGGUAAUGGCCUACCAAGACUACGAUCUAUAGCUGGUCUGAGAGGAUGAUCAGCCACACUGGGACUGAGACACGGCCCAGACUCCUACGGGAGGCAGCAGUGGGGAAUCUUGCACAAUGGGCGAAAGCCUGAUGCAGCCAUGCCGCGUGAAUGAUGAAGGCCUUAGGGUUGUAAAAUUCUUUCGCCAGGGAUGAUAAUGACAGUACCUGGUAAAGAAGCCCCGGCUAACUUCGUGCCAGCAGCCGCGGUAAUACGAAGGGGGCUAGCGUUGUUCGGAAUUACUGGGCGUAAAGCGCGCGUAGGCGGGCUAUUAAGCCAGAUGUGAAAGCCCGGAGCUCAACUCCGGAAUUGCAUUUGGAACUGGUAGCCUAGAGACCAGGAGAGGUUAGCGGAAUACCGAGUGUAGAGGUGAAAUUCGUAGAUAUUCGGUGGAACACCAGUGGCGAAGGCGGCUAACUGGACUGGUACUGACGCUGAGGCGCGAAAGUGUGGGGAGCAAACAGGAUUAGAUACCCUGGUAGUCCACAC
rnacentral:rRNA from 1 species